rnacentral:rRNA from 1 species
UAACGCGAAGAACCUUACCAGCCCUUGACAUGGGCGUCGCGGGCGCAGAGAUGCGCCUUUCGGUUCGGCCGGACGCCGCACAGGUGCUGCAUGGCUGUCGUCAGCUCGUGUCGUGAGAUGUUGGGUUAAGUCCCGCAACGAGCGCAACCCCCAUCUUCAGUUGCCAUCAGGUAACGCUGGGCACUCUGGGGAAACCGCCGGUGACAAGCCGGAGGAAGGCGGGGAUGACGUCAAGUCCUCAUGGCCCUUAUGGGCUGGGCUACACACGUGCUACAAUGGUGGUGACAGUGGGCAGCGAGAUCGCGAGAUCGAGCCAAUCUCCAAAAGCCAUCUCAGUUCGGAUCGCACUCUGCAACUCGGGUGCGUGAAGUUGGAAUCGCUAGUAAUCGCGGAUCAGCACGCCGCGGUGAAUACGUUCCCGGGUCUUGUACACACCGA